CACGUAGGCACCAAGCGUUGUCCGGAUUUAUUGGGCGUAAAGAGCUCGUAGGCGGUUCGAUAAGUCGGGUGUGAAAACUUUGGGCUUAACCCAAAGCGUGCAUUCGAUACUGUUGUGACUAGAGUUCGGUAGGGGAGUGGGGAAUUCCUAGUGUAGCGGUGAAAUGCGCAGAUAUUAGGAGGAACACCGGUGGCGAAGGCGCCACUCUGGGCCGAAACUGACGCUGAGGAGCGAAAGCGUGGGGAGCGAACAGG
rnacentral:rRNA from 1 species